UGGUUUUAAAAAGGAGUUUGAAACUGUAUCACCCACUAUUUUACAUGAACCCCAAUGGCCCUAGCUAAGGCCUGUCUUUCCCUACUUCUUACUUAAGAGCAAGAGACUCACUCGCCUUCCAUCUGAGGAGGGAUAGCAUGAGGAGGAAGGAGGAACAAUCGGAGUCAUCAGAAGGAAAAAAAGCUAUUUCUCUAGCUCUUAUUUUGUGCCAAUAUCUGUGUUAACCUUUACAGACAUACCCACCUUUGAUCCUUGUACCAACCCUAUGAUGUAUGUAACACUUCCGUUUUGGAGAGGUGGAGUCACUUACCCAGGGUCAUAAAAGGUAGAAAGUGGAAAAGCAAUGAUUUGAACCUAAUCCUGUUUGCCUCAAAGCUCAUAGAGCUUAGCCACAGUGAUAGUUUGCCAGAUUGACACAUACAUCCAUGCAGUUUAGGCUUCAAGUCGAACCCAUCUACCAUGUAGGUUUUGUUGUUUGUCGUGUCCAUUAGUCUAAGUGACCCCACCCUUAGCCUGCACGGGUCAGAUUCGUGGUGUAUCUCAAUUCUCUACCACCCUUUACUCAAGAAGGCCUAAAGCCCCAUAUUUUCCCCAGGUAAGAGUCCCUGCCUGACUACACUACACCAGCAGGUGUAGUGGACAGUAGGCAAGCGAGCAUGAAACCAACAGGUUCUGUUUUACUUUCAUGAGCUAACGAGAUGAUAAAAAGACAGAGUGUUAUAGCUCCAUAGAGAAUAGCAUAUUCUUUGCCUUGACAAUGCUUCCUCCUUUACCCCCCUUUUCUCUCUUGUUCUAACUCUUGCUUUCCCUCUCAUGCUCUUUCACUCAUACACACACACACACACACACACAAACCCAGAUUGGGGGCUUAUACAAAACACAAAGAAGGGAACGUUUUGUAAGGUUAAAAGGAAGCCAUCGAGAAAGGCUAGCUGGAGCUCCAGUUUCUCCUGAAUAGUCUUUCUUGUUAUUUCAAGGCUGAUUGACUUAUAACUGCAUCCACAGCUAGCUCACAUCGGUUCCUUUAUCAGCCCGAGUGAGACUUCCUGUGGACUGGCCCAGCUUCCUGAUUUAUUUCCUUUUUCCUUUGGCAGAACAAAGAAAACCAGAGCUCCAAGGAUACUUGGGACCAAACAUAAUUUAGCACCAAAGAAGCUAUUAUUUAAAAUAUGUUCAGUCUCAGUGCAUAGGGCCGAGAACCUGCCUUUGCAGUUUUCCACGUGCAAUUAUCAGGGGUCAACGAGCCACUUGAACUCAUCCUAGUUGUAGUUGGAUUUCAUUCAAAGGGGGAAAUUGAGCCCAUUCUCCUCACUAACACCACAUGAGCACCCCCCCAACCCCAUACACACAGGCACACCUUCAAGAGUUACAUGGAAUGCCUCUGUAUUGAGGGUUUACUCUUUUGUUAACCUAACUCAACCCCACAGACCAGCAAAGAAACCCUCUUCUUUUGAAAUUUCAUUCUAGCUGUGUUUAAAGUUCUAACUCUAGAAACCUGCCCAUAAGAAAAGAAGCUUUGAGCUCUACCCAAAUGGGCAUUGACGUCAGUCGAAGAAGAAAUUCCAGAAAUUGGGAUGAAGGCAUUGCUUUCCUCUCUUGCCUGUAGGAUGCCAUAUCACUUCUUACCGCUUGGCCUCACCACCUGCUGUGCACGUUAUUUCUGACAAACCUUUAGGCAUAAUCCAGAGAAAUAGGGAACAUGACUGAGGGAGCUAUCUGCACCCCUGUCGUAUCGCCUAAAGCAAAUAUCACAAGCUGUCAACUGAUAGCACGCCCCCGUACUCUUAGAAGAUAGGAGGCCAGUGCACCGGAGAGAUCACUGAGGCUUCAGGAUGGGAUGUGUCCGAAGAUGAGAACUAGGCAAAAGAUACUCAGAGCAGAACUCGGGUAUUCUUGUGCCCAAACAACACAUUUGCAAUAAGGGUGUUUCCAGGAGCUAAGUUAUCAAGACUUCACGAAUUCAUGCUUUCUUUGUUCACCUGUCUUAUAGCCUUACAAAUGUAUAAUCCUCCUGGGGAACUGAAGAUGGCACUUUCCAUAGAAAACAGCUAGGCAUCUAAGAAAUCGUGCAGGCGCCCAAAUGUUACUAGUCACCUUUUUGGCUCUUUUUUUUUUUUUUUUUUAACAAAGAUCACUGAUUUGAAAUGGAAAUCAAAUUGAAACUGAAAUGUACCUCCCCAGGCAAGCAAGAUACUUCUAAGAGGAGAGGGUUAAUUCACCAUUGUUAAUUCACACUGAUUUCUCCCACCCCAGUCCUCAAGGUAAUCAUCUCUAGAUGAAAAGAGAUUGAGGGACGCCUGGGUGGCU